rnacentral:rRNA from 1 species
GAUGAACGCUAGCGGCAGGCUUAACACAUGCAAGUCGAGGGGUAUUGGUUUUCGGACCAAGAGACCGGCGCACGGGUGCGUAACGCGUAUGCAAUCUACCUUUUGCAGAGGGAUAGCCCAGAGAAAUUUGGAUUAAUACCUCAUAGUAUAGUACCUUGGCAUCAAGGAACUAUUAAAGUCACAACGGCAAAAGAUGAGCAUGCGUCCCAUUAGCUAGUUGGUAAGGUAACGGCUUACCAAGGCGACGAUGGGUAGGGGUCCUGAGAGGGAGAUCCCCCACACUGGUACUGAGACACGGACCAGACUCCUACGGGAGGCAGCAGUGAGGAAUAUUGGACAAUGGGCGCAAGCCUGAUCCAGCCAUGCCGCGUGCAGGAUGACGGUCCUAUGGAUUGUAAACUGCUUUUAUACAGGAAGAAACACUGGUUCGUGAACCAGCUUGACGGUACUGUAAGAAUAAGGAUCGGCUAACUCCGUGCCAGCAGCCGCGGUAA